rnacentral:rRNA from 1 species
UACGAAGGGAGCGAGCGUUAUUCGGAAUAACUGGGCGUAAAGGGCGCGUAGGCGGUUUACUAAGUCGGUUGUUAAAGCUCAUGGCUUAACCAUGAAAGAGCAAACGAAACUGGUGGAGCUAGAGGGCAGAAGAGAGGAGUGGAAUUCUCGGAGUAGCGGUAAAAUGCGUAGAUCUCGAGAGGAACACCGAUGGCGAAGGCAGCUCCUUGGUCUGUACCUGACGCUGAAGUGCGAAAGCGUGGGGAGCAAACAGG